CGUCGCCUUUUGUUCUAUUUAGGGCUACAAAGAUAUUUCUCGUUGCCCAUGAAAUAUUAAUCCGUCGCCCAAACCUGCUUUUUUUGUAGUAUCUCUUCCUCUUCCCUGAACAUCGCCUCUGUUCUUCCUCUCCACCAGUGAUUUAUUUCAUUUUUCCGCUCCUCCUCCUCCUUCCCCUUCUCUGCUUCUGCCAUUACCAUCACUGCAAAUUUGAUUCGUUCUUCAAUUUAGGGUUUUCCUGUUUACUUUCUUUCUUAAAUUUGAUUUUCCUUUAAUUAUUUGAGUAUCAUGAGUUCAUUAAGCAGGAGUUUUAGGUUAAUUAUCCUAGUAUUGAAUGAAUUACAAAUUAGGGUUUUCGGUUUUCCGUUUGGGCAAAUUCCUUGGUUUUCCUUGUCAAUUGAGAAAAAAACAUUGUUUGUUCUGUUUUGAGGUGAUGCUAGGAAAAUACGAAUCUGCUUGGUGAUAGGAAAUUACGUAUAUGCACCAUUCUAAGUUAUUUCAUUUUUAUUUUAUCAGGAUUGUGAUAUUUAUCUACUUUAUGAUGUUUUCAGUGUUGUUGAUGCUCAUACUGGAUCAGAAAUAUUCAAGGAGUAAGACGUAAAUCAUAAAGUAACUCCAAGAAAGGUCUAUCGAAAAGCUUAUGUGAGCAAGGAAAAGCUCAUUGAUACGACUCCGAGAACGUUUGAGAAUGUGUAAGAGGAGCUUUGAAGAAUAAAACAAUAAUACUUGUGACAACAUAUAUUUUAGCUUGCCGCAGCAAGAUGGUAUCCCUUUCUCUAUGUCUUCAUGUACAAAUACACUUUUCUUUCAGGUGAUGUUUAGCUUAAACAUAAAUUUUUCUUGUGAAGCCUCUUGAUGAAAAUGUGAAGGCAAAGCUCUGUACGUUUAAUAAAACUCUUUUAUGGUCGUUUUUUUUUUUAAUUAUGUUCUCGCCUUUCUUGAUAAUGAAAACCCUUCAAGGAAACUGUGAUGGCUUCCAAGUCACAAAGAACAAUGUCGAGAAAAUCAUUGACAGGAAAACUCAUCACCUAAGCAGUUGAAAUCCCCUUUAAUCUCACGCGUGUCCUUUUACAGGUUUGUUACUAAAUCUAAGUAUUGUAUUGAUAUAUUAGCAGAUUGUGUAAUCGACAUACAAAUAUGUCAACCUUUGUUUUACAUGAUUUCACUGGAGUGCCAGUUGUUGUUGAUUUGGCUGCAAUGAGGGAUACCAUGAAAAACCUCAACAGUGACCCUAACAAGAUUAAUUAAUCCAUUGGUUUGUUUCCUUUUUAUAUUUAUAAUGAGCAUGAAAAUAAUAAUUCAAUGAUUGUAGCCUAGUAUAAUGCACGAAGUAUAAGCCAUUCAUUGUGCUCGAUAGCAGUUGUGGAUUCUAUUCAAGUCUGUAACGGUCUAACCCAAGAAAGAAAUAGGACCUAUACUACGUACUAUGCUUUGUGCCGUAAACUAGUAUUUAUGCUUUCCUUAUACAUAUUUCAUUUCCUUGAAAAACAUUAAUUAAUAUUAUGUUGUAGGUGAAAUAAAUUCUUUCCUGUAAUCUCAAAUUAACUUUCUUAAUUUUGUAUGACAGGUUCAUGUGUACCUUGUCAUUGAUCAUUGAGUUCAAGUUGAUGUAGCAAGGUUUAAGAACAAUCAUGACAAUCUUUGAAGAUCAUCUCAUACCAUCUCCAAAUCCUGACAGUUGGAAACAGAAUGAGAUUUUUGUUACUGGCUGUGUCAUCAGGGCAUAUCUCCCCUUAGUGACUGUUAUUUUACUGGGUCGUAAAUGACACAUAUUUCUUCCAGAGAUGGUCAUUUUUGGAGAGACUAGGAGUUCUUCUCAUGCCUGCAUUCGCGGUGGCGCAAUUGGUACUCAAAAAUCCGAUGGAGGAGCCUUUUACGAUUGAAGAGAUAAAUGAAGUUCGAGAAAAGUUGGCAAACUUCAUUUCUAGUGAUUUGUCUUUGAUAUUUUGUUGUAGUGAAUUUUAGUAUUGUCUUUGAUAUUUCCUUGUAGUGAAUUUUAGGUUACGGAUGCUAGUUUUUUUUAUGAUUGUAAUGGCCUCGAAUUUUCUACUGUACAAUUUAAUUAUCUAUGUAAUUGGGUACUUUUUAUAUGAUGUAUGGAGGUUUAUUA